CUAUUUCUAGAGAUAGAAAGUUACUUCGGUACAUCGGUGACAGGUGGUGCAUGGUUGUCGUCAGCUCGUGUCGUGAGAUGUUGGGUUAAGUCCCGCAACGAGCGCAACCCCUAUUGUUAGUUGCCAUCAUUCAGUUGGGCACUCUAGCGAGACUGCCGGUAAUAAACCGGAGGAAGGUGGGGAUGACGUCAAAUCAUCAUGCCCCUUAUGACCUGGGCUACACACGUGCUACAAUGGUUGAUACAACGAGUUGCGAGUCGGUGACGGCGAGCUAAUCUCUUAAAGCCAAUCUCAGUUCGGAUUGUAGGCUGCAACUCGCCUACAUGAAGUCGGAAUCGCUAGUAAUCGCGGAUCAGCACGCCGCGGUGAAUACGUUCCCGGGCCUU
rnacentral:rRNA from 1 species